UCCUUUUCUACUUUCUGCACCUCAUUGGCAACAUGAAUAGACUGAUAUGCCCUUUGUUACUCAUAAACUGCACCACCCUAUUCUCUUUGUGCUGUUGCACCCUAUUCCCAUCCUCCUGGGCAGCAACAAGUCGACCUUUUUUGGGCUCGUGUCUUCGCCACCGACCUCCUCAUGUUCAUGGUGAACACCCUUAAGCUCGUCAUGGUGGCACUCUGAAAAAUCUAUUAAAUUAGGGUUGGGGAUGAGCAAGGCAGUGUCAAC
rnacentral:lncRNA from 1 species